UACGGAAGGCAGCAGUGGGGAAUAUUGCACAAUGGGCGAAAGCCUGAUGCAGCUAUGCCGCGUGUAUGAAGAAGGCCUUAGGGUUGUAAAGUACUUUCAUCGGGGAGGAAAAACAAAACUAAUAAUUUUAUUUCUUGACGUUACCCGAAAAAGAAGCACCGGCUAACUCCGUGCCAGCAGCCGCGGUAAUACGGAGGGUGCUAGCGUUAAUCAGAAUUACUGGGCGUAAAGAGCACGUAGGUGGUUUUUUUAAGUCAGAUGUGAAAUCCCUGGGCUUAACCUAGGAACUGCAUUUUGAAACUGAAAUACUAGAGUAUCGUAGAGGGAGGUAGAAUUCUAGGUGUAGCGGUGAAAUGCGUAGAUAUCUGGAGGAAUACCUGUGGCGAAAGCGGCCUCCUAAACGAAUACUGACACUGAGGGUGCGAAAGCGUGGGGAGCAAACGAGGAUUAGAUACC
rnacentral:rRNA from 1 species